ACUUGCUUGAGCACAUAUAUACUAAAAUUGAAAUGAUACAGAAAAGGUAAGAAUGACUUUUACACAAAAUGACAGAAUAAUUUAUGAAGUAGUCCAUAUGUUU